rnacentral:rRNA from 1 species
ACGCUGGCGGCAGGCCUAACACAUGCAAGUCGAGCGGUAGAGAGAAGCUUGCUUCUCUUGAGAGCGGCGGACGGGUGGGUAAUGCCUAGGAAUCUGCCUGGUAGUGGGGGAUAACGUUCGGAAACGGACGCUAAUACCGCAUACGUCCUACGGGAGAAAGCAGGGGACCUUCGGGCCUUGCGCUAUCAGAUGAGCCUAGGUCGGAUUAGCUAGUUGGUGAGGUAAUGGCUCACCAAGGCGACGAUCCGUAACUGGUCUGAGAGGAUGAUCAGUCACACUGGAACUGAGACACGGUCCAGACUCCUACGGGAGGCAGCAGUGGGGAAUAUUGGACAAUGGGCGAAAGCCUGAUCCAGCCAUGCCGCGUGUGUGAAGAAGGUCUUCGGAUUGUAAAGCACUUUAAGUUGGGAGGAAGGGCAUUAACCUAAUACGUUAGUGUUUUGACGUUACCGACAGAAUAAGCACCGGCUAACUCUGUGCCAGCAGCCGCGGUAAUACAGAGGGUGCAAGCGUUAAUCGGAAUUACUGGGCGUAAAGCGCGCGUAGGUGGUUUGUUAAGUUGGAUGUGAAAUCCCCGGGCUCAACCUGGGAACUGCAUUCAAAACUGACUGACUAGAGUAUGGUAGAGGGUGGUGGAAUUUCCUGUGUAGCGGUGAAAUGCGUAGAUAUAGGAAGGAACACCAGUGGCGAAGGCGACCACCUGGACUAAUACUGACACUGAGGUGCGAAAGCGUGGGGAGCAAAC